UUUGCAACUAACAAAUAUACUUUUCAAAUAUUAGGUGGACGAACGCCGGUGGGUUACGUUUUGCAGCAAACGUUAGAACAACAGAUAUUGAGUUCUACAGAGAUGAGUUAGACCAACAGAGAGAGACUCAGGUACAUAUUAAUGCAACCAUUUUUUGACUAUUUCAACUGAUAUUUUAGCUGACUAAUAUUGGCUUUUUCACA
rnacentral:lncRNA from 1 species